AGAGUUUGAUCCUGGCUCAGGAUGAACGCUGGCGGUAUGCUUAACACAUGCAAGUCGAACGGAACUCUUCGGAGUUCAGUGGCGGACGGGUGAGUAACGCGUGAGAAUCUGGCUUCAGGUUCGGGACAACCAUUGGAAACGAUGGCUAAUACCGGAUGUGCCGCAAGGUGAAAGAUUAAUUGCCUGAAGAUGAGCUCGCGUCUGAUUAGCUAGUUGGUGGGGUAAGAGCCUACCAAGGCGACGAUCAGUAACUGGUCUGAGAGGAUGACCAGUCACACUGGGACUGAGACACGGCCCAGACUCCUACGGGAGGCAGCAGUGGGGAAUUUUCCGCAAUGGGCGAAAGCCUGACGGAGCAAUACCGCGUGAGGGAGGAAGGCUCUAGGGUUGUAAACCUCUUUUCUCAGGGAAGAACAAAAUGACGGUACCUGAGGAAUAAGCAUCGGCUAACUCCGUGCCAGCAGCCGCGGUAAUACGGAGGAUGCAAGCGUUAUCCGGAUUUAUUGGGCGUAAAGCGUCCGCAGGUGGCAGUUCAAGUCUGCUGUCAAAGGUCGGGGCUCAACCCCGAACAGGCAGUGGAAACUGAACAGCUAGAGUACGGUAGGGGCAGAGGGAAUUCCCAGUGUAGCGGUGAAAUGCGUAGAGAUUGGGAAGAACACCGGUGGCGAAAGCGCUCUGCUAGGCCGAAACUGACACUCAUGGACGAAAGCUAGGGGAGCGAAUGGGAUUAGAUACCCCAGUAGUCC
rnacentral:rRNA from 1 species